GAAGAAGACUAUAGAAUUAGAUAAUGAGAACUGUUCCCAUCUGUGUUUGGCUAUAGAUGUGGCUGAAGUUGGUAGAUAUCCAGCUUCUCAGCUGCAUCCCGUUGCUGAGCCUCUGAGUCUUCCCGGGGGUCGUCCAAGCGCUUUACAGCCGUGGGCGAGUCCCAGGGGUAAGUUGUGAGCAUUUCUUUCCUUUGAGAGCUCCCAGGUGCUGAGCCUCGCGGACAGGCUGGAGGUGAGUCCUCGGGGGACCUUCCCUUCCCUGGCAAGACCAGAAGCAUGCCUUUCCUGGCGCUGUGUUGCCCUGGCGCUGGCCGGGGAGCUCUUUUGCCCGCGCAGUGUAAAUGAUCCUUCGUGUCCUCCGGUGCUAAGGGUUCCCCAUUUGUAGAGUGCUGUCCGUUAGAGAGCUCCCUGCAAGAAGGUGCCGAGGGCCUGUGUGUUUGUCCUGGGGGUGCUUGGGGGCUCUGGGAUCACGCCUUGACAGGGGAUUUUGAAAGGUGCCAGGGGGCAGCCAGGAGGUCUCCCCAGUCCCUCUGCAGCUGGGGUCUCUCCACCUGCACGUGCACCCAAGUGCUGUCGUGUUCCCUUCUCUUCACUGCGCUUGACUUCUGCAGAAGGAUGUUGCAGCCUGUAAUGUCAGCUUGUCUGUGUUCCUGUAGGCAGUGGUCUUCCAGCUUCUCAGCUGAAUCUGCUUUUUGAGCAUCAGGGGGAUGCCAGGGAUGUGGCCGACAUAGAUGGGCAUGCAGCUUCUCAGCUGGAUCCCCAUUUUGAACCUCAAGAUGGCCAUGCACCUGUUCCCCUGCAGAGGGCUUAUCCAGCUUCUCAGCUGGAUGCUGUUGCUGAGCCUCCAGGCCUUCCCAGGGGUGUUCCUGCAGGCAGGGGCCUUCCAGCUUCUCAGCUGAAUCUGCUUUUUGAGCAUCAGGG